UACGGAGGGUGCGAGCGUUGUCCGGAAUCACUGGGCGUAAAGGGCGCGUAGGCGGCGUCGGUAGUCCGUGGUGAAAGCUCGUGGCUCAACUGCGAGUCGGCCAUGGAUACUCCGAUGCUUGAGCACUGUAGAGGCAGGUGGAAUUCCGGGUGUAGCGGUGGAAUGCGUAGAGAUCCGGAAGAACACCGGUGGCGAAGGCGGGUCUCUGGGGCCGAUACUGACGCUGAGGAGCGAAAGCGUGGGGAGCGAACAGG
rnacentral:rRNA from 1 species